CCGGGAUGUUCAUAACCCUUUGUUGUCCGACUCUGUUGCCUCCGGGGCGACCCUGCCUUCGGGCGGGGGCUCCGGGUGGACACUUCAAACUCUUGCGUAACUUUGCAGUCUGAGUAAACUUAAUUAAUAAAUUAAAACUUUUAACAACGGAUCUCUUGGUUCUGGCAUCGAUGAAGAACGCAGCGAAAUGCGAUAAGUAAUGUGAAUUGCAGAAUUCAGUGAAUCAUCGAAUCUUUGAACGCACAUUGCGCCCCCUGGUAUUCCGGGGGGCAUGCCUGUUCGAGCGUCAUUUCACCACUCAAGCCUCGCUUGGUAUUGGGCAACGCGGUCCGCCGCGUGCCUCAAAUCGACCGGCUGGGUCUUCUGUCCCCUAAGCGUUGUGGAAACUAUUCGCUAAAGGGUGCUCGGGAGGCUACGCCGUAAAACAAACCCAUUUCUAAGGUUGACCUCGGAUCAGGUAGGGAUACCCGCUGAACUUAAGCAUAUC
rnacentral:rRNA from 1 species